rnacentral:rRNA from 1 species
AGUGAACGCUGGCGGUAGGCCUAACACAUGCAAGUCGAACGGCAGCACAGUAAGAGCUUGCUCUUACGGGUGGCGGGUGGCGGACGGGUGAGGAAUACAUCGGAAUCUACUUUUUCGUGGGGGAUAACGUAGGGAAACUUACGCUAAUACCGCAUACGACCUACGGGUGAAAGCAGGGGAUCUUCGGACCUUGCGCGAUUGAAUGAGCCGAUGUCGGAUUAGCUAGUUGGCGGAGUAAGGGCCCACCAAGGCGACGAUCCGUAGCUGGUCUGAGAGGAUGAUCAGCCACACUGGAACUGAGACACGGUCCAGACUCCUACGGGAGGCAGCAGUGGGGAAUAUUGGACAAUGGGCGCAAGCCUGAUCCAGCCAUACCGCGUGGGUGAAGAAGGCCUUCGGGUUGUAAAGCCCUUUUGUUGGGAAAGAAAAGCAGCAGGUUAAUACCCCGCUGUUCUGACGGUACCCAAAGAAUAAGCACCGGCUAACUUCGUG